rnacentral:rRNA from 1 species
UACGUAGGUGGCAAGCGUUGUCCGGAUUUACUGGGCGUAAAGAGCGCGCAGGCGGUCUGAUAAGUCGAAUGUGAAAGCCCCCGGCUCAACUGGGGAGGGUCAUUCGAUACUGUUCGACUCGAAGGCAGGAGAGGGAAGUGGAGUUCCCGGUGUAGUGGUGAAAUGCGUAGAUAUCGGGAGGAACACCAGUGGCGAAGGCGACUUCCUGGCCUGUUCUUGACGCUGAGGCGCGAAAGCUAGGGGAGCAAACGGG